rnacentral:misc_RNA from 1 species
GUGAAUCAUCGAAUCUUUGAACGCAAAUUGCACUCUCCUUGGAGAUUAUGCCUGUUUGAGUGUCAGCCUAUAAAAAUCGACAUCGUUGCUGUUUCGCGUUGGCGUUCGUCGGAAAUUGGGUCAUCUUAAAUCCUUUUGAUUUAAUCGACUUAAAAUUUUCUUUUUGUUCUAUUAACGUUUCUAAGAUCUAUUUCUUUACACGUCUAAGGUAUCGAAUUUUACUAUACGUGACUAUCAUAUCGUAGCUCGUCCAG